rnacentral:rRNA from 1 species
UAGGGUGCAAGCGUUAAUCGGAAUUACUGGGCGUAAAGCGUGCGCAGGCGGCUUGAUAAGACAGGUGUGAAAUCCCCGAGCUUAACUUGGGAAUAGCACUUGUGACUGUCAGGCUAGAGUGUGUCAGAGGGAGGUGGAAUUCCAAGUGUAGCAGUGAAAUGCGUAGAUAUUUGGAAGAACACCGAUGGCGAAGGCAGCCUCCUGGGAUAACACUGACGCUCAUGCACGAAAGCGUGGGGAGCAAA